GUCGUGAGGAGUAACCGAGCAUUGCUCCUGGAUUCAGCGGCGGACGGGUGAGUAAUGCCUAGGAAUCUGCCUGGUAGUGGGGGAUAACGUCCGGAAACGGGCGCUAAUACCGCAUACGUCCUGAGGGAGAAAGUGGGGGAUCUUCGGACCUCACGCUAUCAGAUGAGCCUAGGUCGGAUUAGCUAGUUGGUGGGGUAAAGGCCUACCAAGGCGACGAUCCGUAACUGGUCUGAGAGGAUGAUCAGUCACACUGGAACUGAGACACGGUCCAGACUCCUACGGGAGGCAGCAGUGGGGAAUAUUGGACAAUGGGCGAAAGCCUGAUCCAGCCAUGCCGCGUGUGUGAAGAAGGUCUUCGGAUUGUAAAGCACUUUAAGUUGGGAGGAAGGGCAGUAAGUUAAUACCUUGCUGUUUUGACGUUACCAACAGAAUAAGCACCGGCUAACUUCGUGCCAGCAGCCGCGGUAAUACGAAGGGUGCAAGCGUUAUCGGAAUUACUGGGCGUAAAGCG
rnacentral:rRNA from 1 species